rnacentral:rRNA from 1 species
UACAGAGGUCUCAAGCGUUGUUCGGAUUCAUUGGGCGUAAAGGGCGCGUAGGCGGCGGGGUCAGUCGGGUGUGAAAUCUUGGGGCUUAACCCCGAAACGGCACUCGAAACUGCCCGGCUGGAGGGCCGGAGAGGAGAUCGGAAUUCACGGUGUAGCAGUGAAAUGCGUAGAGAUCGUGAGGAAGACCCGUGGCGAAGGCGGAUCUCUGGACGGCUAACUGACGCUGAGGCGCGAAAGCGUGGGGAGCGAACAGG